rnacentral:lncRNA from 1 species
CGGAUUAUGCUUGGGGAGAACGUGUUAGGUAUGAGCAGACAGGAUUAAAAUCAUGAGUAGUUCUGAUUUUCACUUUUAAAUCAGAUAAGACUAGGUCUGGAUUCUUACUUGGGUUUGGGAUUGGAAUGAUUGUGGAAAGAAAGAAGAGAAACAGAAAAAGUUGUGUCCUUAGGAGUAGAAUGUUUUUUAAGAGGUUUAUACUCUAGUGAUUGAUUUUUGUGGGGAUAGCAUGAUAUACAGAGAAUGGUUCUGUUAUGUAAAGAAAGAGAAAAAGUUUUGAUGUCAUAACAUAAGUAGAAAACAGAACCAUAGUAAGGAAGAAAUCCCCUAUCCAUUAGUAUUGAUAAGAAACUUCUCCUAAGGCAAAAAGAAAAAAAAUGGGAAUGAUGUUGAAGAGUAGACUUAGGGAUCAUUCGGGUUUAGAUGAUUAGGAGUAAGCACUUGGGAACCAUUUGGUAGUCAAGGUUUUAUUCUUGUAUGCAUUUG